UUUUUUGGGAGAUCAAUUCCUGUUUAUACUAUCGUCACUGGUCAUUGCUUUUCCAUCCUGUUUGGCUUUGCUAUCGUAAUAAUAAAAGCAUUGUUUAGUUUCGAGCCAUUUUCAGCUGAUAUUGACGCGAUACACAUCUUGAUUUCCAAGAGCAAUAAACAAUCAUGUGAAGGGCUCGAAGCAAAAAAUUAAACAGACACGCUCUUUUUGGAAUAAAAUCAAUUCCUGUUUAUGCCAUCAUGAAUGGUCAUGUCAUUGCUUUUCCAUCCUGUUCAGUGUUUGUCACGAUAAUAAUAGAAGUGUUUGGUCUCGAACCAUUAUCAGUUGGUCGCAAUAAUAAAAGUAGUGUUUCGUUUGGAGUCAUUAUCAGCUGAGGUCAAGGCAAUACACAUCUUGAUUUCCACAAGAAAUAUAGAAACUAACAGAGGGCUCAAAGCAAAGCAACCAAACAGACGCAUCUUUUUGGGCUAACAUUUUAACCUCAAAAGUGUUCUUCAAACAUCUGGAAAAGUUGCACAUAGCGGUUAGGAAGACAGUUAUGAUUUCCACCAAUCAACUGCAAAUCAUCGCCUUGAAUGUGUUGCAAUUGCUUUUCGUCAUCACUGAGACAGCGGGAUAUCCCUCGGGAAUAGAGAUAAAAAAUGUGUCUUUCUGUGGAAACUACGAUAAGACAGCAAAAAUCAAAAUUUCUCCAUGGCCUUUCAUUCCUUCUGGAACCAUCUUUAAUCUAACUCUAACAUUCACACCCGCGGUAGAUGUCCUUGAUGUCUCUAAUGAAUACGAAUUCGUAUAGAUUUGAACGGCAAGGUCAUUUUUAGGAACCGGGAAGACCAACUAUGCGACACGUACCCAGACUUGUGCAACUGUCCGGCUGGUGAAACUCAAGUGAAGACUUGUUCUUAUACAUUGUUAGAACCUUCACCAUUUUUCAAGAUGAUGACCUUCAGAGCAAGGAGCCAGUAUUUCAAUGAAGAGGAUAUCAUGUUUCUCUGUUUAGAUUGCGUGUUCAAAAUUUACUAAAAGGCAAGCAAGAGUCGGGCCGUGCGAGCAAGAGGAGGAUCUUAUUGGAAUUGAGUAAGCAGUGGAAUGGAAACGUUAGAACUACAAAAUCUCUUCGAUAACCACAACGUUAUAACAUUGAUUACAAAAAAUUGUCUAUAAUUGACCUACCUAUGGUGGAGUUAACUGUUGAUUAGUUAAAUUUCACCUUAAAGCAAAGGGUGGGAAUAAAAAUAAGGGGAGGGAAUGGGGUGCAUUACUUUAGGAUAGAUUAAAAGUGGCAACCUGGUUUCCGAAGUGAAUUACUUCGAUAUUAGCAAUCAUAACAGUUAACUUGAAACAAAAAAUACUGUAAACUACAAGGUGUCCAAGUCUAACAAUAUAUACUAAUAAAUUUUACACUUCCCUGGUAAAUUUAA